rnacentral:rRNA from 1 species
UACGAAGGGGGCUAGCGUUGCUCGGAAUCACUGGGCGUAAAGCGCACGUAGGCGGCUUGUUAAGUCAGGGGUGAAAUCUUGGAGCUUAACUCCGAAACUGCAUUCGAUACUGCCGUGCUUGAGGACUGGAGAGGAGACUGGAAUUUACGGUGUAGCGGUGAAAUGCGUAGAUAUCGUAAGGAAGACCAGUGGCGAAGGCGGGUCUCUGGACAGUUCCUGACGCUGAGGCACGAAGGCCAGGGGAGCAAACGGG